AGAGUUUGAUCCUGGCUCAGAACGAACGCUGGCGGCGUGCUUAACACAUGCAAGUCGAACGCGAAAAGGGACUUCGGUCCUGAGUAAAGUGGCGCACGGGUGAGUAACGCGUGGAUAAUCUACCCAAUGAUCUGGGAUAACAUCUCGAAAGGGGUGCUAAUACCGGAUAAGACCACGGAGUCUCUGGAUUCUGCGGUAAAAGGUGGGGACCUUCGGGCCUACCGUCAUCGGAUGAGUCCGCGUACCAUUAGCUAGUUGGURGGGUAAUGGCCUACCAAGGCGACGAUGGUUAGCGGGUCUGAGAGGAUGAUCCGCCACACUGGAACUGGAACACGGACCAGACUCCUACGGGAGGCAGCAGUGAGGAAUAUUGCGCAAUGGGGGCAACCCUGACGCAGCGACGCCGCGUGGAUGAUGAAGGCCCUUGGGUCGUAAAAUCCUGCCAGAUGGAAAGAAAUGUACAGGUGUUAAUAUCGCCUGUAUUUGACGGUACCAUCAAAGGAAGCACCGGCUAACUCCGUGCCAGCAGCCGCGGUAAUA
rnacentral:rRNA from 1 species